rnacentral:rRNA from 1 species
UGAGGAAUAUUGGUCAAUGGACGCAAGUCUGAACCAGCCAUGCCGCGUGCAGGAAGACGGCUCUAUGAGUUGUAAACUGCUUUUGUACGAGGGUAAACUCACCUACGUGUAGGUGACUGAAAGUAUCGUACGAAUAAGGAUCGGCUAACUCCGUGCCAGCAGCCGCGGUAAUACGGAGGAUCCGAGCGUUAUCCGGAUUUAUUGGGUUUAAAGGAAGCGUAGAUGGAUGUUUAAGUCAGUUGUGAAAGUUUGCGGCUCAACCGUAAAAUUGCAGUUGAUACUGGAUAUCUUGAGUGCAGUUGAGGCAGGCGGAAUUCGUGGUGUAGCGGUGAAAUGCUUAGAUAUCACGAAGAACUCCGAUUGCGAAGGCAGCCUGCUAAGCUGCAACUGACAUUGAGGCUCGAAAGUGUGGGUAUCAAACAGGAUUAGAUACCCUGGUAGUCCACACGGUAAACGAUGAAUACUCGCUGUUUGCGAUAUACUGCAAGCGGCCAAGCGAAAGCGUUAAGUAUUCCACCUGGGGAGUACGCCGGCAACGGUGAAACUCAAAGGAAUUGACGGGGGCCCGCACAAGCGGAGGAACAUGUGGUUUAAUUCGAUGAUACGCGAGGAACCUUACCCGGGCUUAAAUUGCAGAUGAAUUACGGUGAAAGCCGUAAGCCGCAAGGCAUCUGUGAAGGUGCUGCAUGGUUGUCGUCAGCUCGUGCCGUGAGGUGUCGGCUUAAGUGCCAUAACGAGCGCAACCCUUGUUGUCAGUCACUAACAGGUUCCGCUGAGGACUCUGACAAGACUGCCAUCGUAAGAUGUGAGGAAGGUGGGGAUGACGUCAAAUCAGCACGGCCCUUACGUCCGGGGCUACACACGUGUUACAAUGGGGGGUACAGAGGGCCGCUACCACGCGAGUGGAUGCCAAUCCCCAAAACCUCUCUCAGUUCGGACUGGAGUCUGCAACCCGACUCCACGAAGCUGGAUUCGCUAGUAAUCGCGCAUCAGCCACGGCGCGGUGAAUACGUUCCC